rnacentral:sRNA from 1 species
CAGGAAGGAAUUGGGAUUGGAGGGGUGCAGUGUGUACUGGGGGGCAGCACAGCAGAGUAGCUUCUAUUUGGACGUGACAGGUGUAGUCGUCAUGUUUUCCAGGCUAUCACUUUGCCUUGUUUCCCCCGUUGCUGCUUUAUAUUUAUGUUUUUGUGCCAUGCACAAUUUGGUCUUCCUCUGCCCUAAGCUAACUUGGCAUAUUUGCAUUUCUUAGUUAAAACAGGUAGGUGGCAAGAGACGACUAGUAUUUCCGGGGUUUGGAUGCGGGAUUAGUGAGGAAAAAGUAUGCUCUCUCCAUUCAACCCUUUUUUUUUUUUUUUUUUGGCCCUUGUGCUGUGUGUUGUCCAGUCAGUUUGCCUUCAUUCCGAACUGCAUCCGGUUCAUCAAUUUGAAUCAUUUCUAUCGCCAUGACCAUGACCAUGAAUAUCACGAUGUUCUGUGUAGCUCGAUCCGACUCCGACUUGGCUUGGGUUCCUGGCUUCCCUGCUGGCUUCCUGGGCUGGGCUCCGUUGACGUGCGUGUGCUGAAGAGGCAUUGGUUGAGUCGUCAUUUCGCGGGAAGGGGCUGGACAAAACUUUAAGUGAUGCGGGUGGUACUCGAUACCUGGGUUGCCGCGUGAGCUGCAGCAGGGAUCCAGGUCACAGAUACCGGGACGCGACGUGGACAGAAGACAGGCCCGUGCGUAAUUAAAAUACACCGAGCUAUACGAAACGAGACGGCACGGCAGGGGCAUCUGGAGCCUGGAGGGAGCGGUGGAGAUAUAGCGGGCAUAGCUAGUAUCUGCAAGCAGCGAACUGAGUACAGUAACUCAAUGAGCUAAGAAUAAUAAUACGAAAUAGUGUCAAGAAAAAACGUGGGAAAGCGACCAGGGUCGUGGGAAUCAGCGGGUUUUUCUUUUUUUUUUUUCUUUUUUCUUUUUUCGUUUUUGGCAUUGUGGAGGAGGCACAGAAUGAGAUAUUUAUGGGCGGUUGUUCGUUCAUGAGUGGUUUUUCAUUGAUUCUUUGUUUCCUCCAUCAUUUUCCUCUCCAUAUUCUUCCGUUUCCCUCACUCCUUACAUGUAUGCGGUGGGCACGAGCUGGUUUUGCCAUUUGCCGCAUUCGUUGAGUGGAAGAACCAGUAACACUAAGUCUGAGCAAAGACAGGGUCUUUUUCUCUUUUACUGCCACGGCCGCCAAUGAACUUCCAAGUCAGAUGCUGUUUGCCAUGAAAAGCUAUAUUUAACAGUAUUUUCAUAUUUCAUCUAAAUUUUCAUACCAUUGCUUGCUAUCAGCAUGCACCAGUAAUAACAAUUGGUCAAUAAUUAAACAAUCAUAGGAGGAAGAACAACAGCGAGAAGAAGAAUCAAAAGAAGAAGAUGAUGAUAAUAAUAAUAUUGAUG